UACGGAAGGCAGCAGUGGGGAAUAUUGCACAAUGGGCGCAAGCCUGAUGCAGCCAUGCCGCGUGUAUGAAGAAGGCCUUCGGGUUGUAAAGUACUUUCAGUCGUGAGGAAGGUGUUAAGGUUAAUAACCUUAGCAAUUGACGUUAGCGACAGAAGAAGCACCGGCUAACUCCGUGCCAGCAGCCGCGGUAAUACGGAGGGUGCGAGCGUUAAUCGGAAUUACUGGGCGUAAAGGGCACGCAGGCGGUUAAUUAAGUUGGAUGUGAAAUCCCCGGGCUUAACCUGGGAAUGGCAUUCAAGACUGGUUAGCUAGAGUCUUGUAGAGGGGGUUAGAAUUCCAUGUGUAGCGGUGAAAUGCGUAGAGAUGUGGAGGAAUACCGGUGGCGAAGGCGGCCCCUGGACAAAGGCUGACGCUCAUGUGCGAAAGCUGGGGAGCAAAC
rnacentral:rRNA from 1 species